AACAUUGUUUUCUUACCAGUUUGCCAGUUUCACUUGUCACUUGACUAUUGUAGACGUCGAAAGAAUGGGAUAUAAAAAUUCACCACGUCAAACUUUGUAAGAAUUUCUUGAAAUUCUUGAGUUCAUAUAUGGAUCUGGAAAAAAAGUGAGGACGUGCCAUUCCCAGCACGUGGUCGAUCCUGGUCUAUGAUUACCAAAUCAUGUCGAAAUAUACCUCGCUUACCACAUGUGCAGGACGACUCCAUGAAGAAGGAAAUGAAUAUUUUUUCUUUUUGUGGACUGAUCUUCAUCCACCAGAUGUGGGAAAGUUGCAUAAAAAAAACUAUCUUUGUAGAUUAAAAAUGAUGAGAGCCAUCCCAUUCUUCAAGUUGUACCUCAGUAUGUGAGGGGUUAUUAAAAUCUACCUUCAGCACUACCUGCGCAGGAAGACUCCAUAGGAAAGGUUGUUCACAUACGGUAUUGCAGUCGAAGUUCUAACUACCAGCCUACUUGCGGUUUUUUUAAUUUAAUGGUACGUCAAUAAGCUGCUGUGGAGUGUUUUUUGUUAUGGCACACUCCUUUUGUCAAUAUUUACCCCGUAUCGAUGUUUCCUGUGUUAAAUGGCGUUAUUAUUUUUUUAAUAAUUAUUUAUUAUUUAAUAAAAGAAAAUAACUGUAACAAAUACAACUACUAGCAUGUUUCCCGA